ACGAACGCUGGCGGCGUGCUUAACACAUGCAAGUCGAACGAAGAGCGAUGGAAGCUUGCUUCUAUCAAUCUUAGUGGCGAACGGGUGAGUAACGCGUAAUCAACCUGCCCUUCAGAGGGGGACAACAGUUGGAAACGACUGCUAAUACCGCAUACGAUCUAAUCUCGGCAUCGAGGAUAGAUGAAAGGUGGCCUCUACAUGUAAGCUAUCACUGAAGGAGGGGAUUGCGUCUGAUUAGCUAGUUGGAGGGGUAACGGCCCACCAAGGCGAUGAUCAGUAGCAGGUCUGAGAGGAUGAACGGCCACAUUGGGACGGAGACACGGCCCAGACUCCUACGGGAGGCAGCAGUGGGGAAUCGUCCGCAAGGGACGAAAGUCUGACGGAGCAACGCCGCGUGCUGGAUGACGGCCGUCGGGUUGUAAAGCUCUGUUAAUCGGGACGAAAGGCCUUCUUGCGAAUAGUGAGAAGGAUUGACGGUACCGGAAUAGAAAGCCACGGCUAACUACGUG
rnacentral:rRNA from 1 species